GGGGCGGGGCGGGGCUCCGGGAGCGCGGGCGGCUCACGCGGGGCAGCGCCGUGGGCCCGAGGCCCCGCGGUCAUUCGCGGGCGGGAUGGCGGGGACGUGUUCCCUCGCGGCCGCCCGCUGCAGUGGAGCCGCUCGUCUGUUUGUGUCCCGGGGCAACGAGACGGAGCCAGCUGGCAUCCCCGCUGCUUUUGGUGGGAGUCAAAGCCCUGGGCGAUGAGCCGGGAGAUCACGGGGUGGUAGAAAGUGAAGAGCUUAAGAGGACUGUUGGCUGUUGGAAGACUGAGAAGAGGGAAAAAGGCAAGGCACUGGCUCUGACUUUCAAGAAGGACAACUGAUUAAAAGAAGAGGAAGGAAAAUGAAAUGCCUGUUCUUAAUAGCCUUCAUUCAUCUGUUACUGAAAUGUACUGGGAAACCUUUGAGUGGAGAUGACAGCUACCGAAAAAUAUCUGAAGAUGUUAAAAGGGAAAUAGCUGGUUAUUCUGAUAUUGCUAAGGCUAUUAUUAACCUUGCUGUUUAUGGCAAUGCCCAGAACAGAUCUUAUGAAAGACUGGCAGUUUUUGCUGAUACUGUAGGACCCAGACUCAGUGGCUCCAAAAAUCUAGACCUUGCCAUCAAAUACAUGUUCAGUGCCCUGCAGGAGGAAGGGCUGGAAAAUGUGCACCUGGAACCUGUAAAAGUGCCUCAUUGGGAACGGGGAGAAGAGUUUGCUCUGAUGUUGGCACCAAGGAGCCAUAGCAUUUCUAUUUCAGGACUUGGAAGCAGUGUUCCAACUCCUCCAGAAGGAAUAACAGCUGAAGUCCUAGUAGUGUCCUCUUUUGAUGAGCUGUACAAAAGAACUGAAGAAGCCAAGGGGAAGAUUGUUGUUUAUAAUCAGCCUUACAUCAGUUAUGGUGAAACUGUGCGAUACAGAGCCCAGGGAGCAGUGGAAGCUGCUAAAGCUGGAGCUGUGGCAUCCCUUAUCAGAUCUAUUACCCCCUUUUCUAUUAAUAGCCCUCAUACCGGGUGGCAGUAUUACCAGUCCAAUGUACCCAAGAUUCCCACAGCUUGCAUUUCAGUUGAAGAUGCUGAAAUGGUGGCACGGAUCUCUUCCCAGGGCACCAAGAUUAUUGUGAAACUCAAGAUGGGAGCCAAGACCUAUCCAGAUGCUAAUUCCUUUAAUACUGUGGCAGAAAUAGUUGGGAGCAAGUACCCAGACCAGGUUGUACUUGUCAGUGGACAUCUUGACAGCUGGGAUGUUGGACAAGGAGCCAUGGAUGAUGGUGGUGGAGCAUUCAUAUCAUGGGAAGCGUUAUCUCUUAUUAAGGAUCUUGGGCUUCGUCCUAAGAGAACUCUACGCUUAGUGCUGUGGACAGGGGAGGAGCAAGGAGGAGUGGGUGCUGAGCAGUACUAUCAGUUACAUAAGGGCAACAUCUCCAACUUCGACAUUGUCAUGGAAUCUGAUGAGGGCACUUUCAUGCCGACUGGCCUGGGUUUUACUGGCAGCGAUAAAGCUCGUGGCAUCAUGAAAGAGAACAUGCAGCUCUUGCAGCCUAUCAAUGUGACAGCUAUUUAUGAAAGUGGUGGUGGAACAGACAUUGAUUACUGGGUGAAAGAUGGAGUACCAGGUGCCAGUUUGCGUGUUGACCGUAGUAAAUACUUCUGGUUUCAUCAUUCUCAAGGGGACACAAUGACAGUUCAAGAUCCAAGCCAGAUGAAUCUCUGCGCUGCUGUUUGGACUGUUGUCUCUUAUGUAAUUGCUGACAUGGAGGAGAGGUUGCCAAGUGUCAAGCUUGAUGGAUUGGAAAGCUGGGCUGAAGCUAACAGGAUGAAGUUAAGUACUGACAAAUGCAAGAUACAACACCUCAGGAAGAAUAAUCAAAAAAACAAAUACAAAAAGGGUGAAACUUGGCUUCAUGGCAGUACUACAGAGAAGGAGCUUGGAGUCUUAGUGGAUCACAGGCCUAAUAUGAGUGUUCAGUGUGGUGUAGCUGCACAGAAGGCAAAUGUAGCUUUGGGGUGCAUUGAUAGAAGCAUUAGAUUCAAGAUAUGGGAAGUGAUAAUGCCUCUCUACUCAGCACUGGUUAGGCCUCGUCUAGAGUACAGUGUGCAGUUUUUGGCUCCAAAUUUUAAAAAGGUGGUGGAGAAGUUAAAGAGGUAGGUGACAAAAAAGAUAAAUGGUUUGGAAAGGAAGUGUUAUGAGAAGGGGCUGAAGGAAAUAGGUAUGUCCAGCCUGCAGAAAAGUUACUUAAGAGAGAACAUGAUAGCAGUCUUCAAGUACCUGAAGGGCUGCCAUGAAAAAGAUGGAACACACCUUUUCACUCUUGCUUCAGAAAGUAGGACUUGAACCAAUGGCUUGAAGUUUCAGCAAAGUAAGUUUAGAUUGGCUAUCAGGAAAAAAAUUCUUGGAUUGCUUAGGGAAGUUGUGGAUUCUCCAUCAUUUGUGGUGUUCAAGAAGAGGUUGAAUAAGCAGUGGGCAGGGGUGUUUUAGGAGUAGCUAUGUCUAUGUUUUAUUAUGGAUAUUUCCCAUGUUCCUAGGCUUUGCUGGCUGCCAGGGGGGCCUGGGAAGGAUUUUUCCCCCUCCUGCUGCUAUAUGUAUCAGGUGGGGGGGAGGGGGGGUGUUUGUUUUUUUAUUUGGUACUGAAUUUGGGGUGGUUUUGUCUUCCUCUGUAGUGGAGGCUUGGCCCUUUUCCUUGGAUCUCUUGAGUGUAUUUUAACAACCUUUGAAUCAGCAGGAUGUUGGCCACCUCUGCCCCGCUGGAGCUAUGCAACAGGUAUGAACUCUUGCAGCCCCAGCAGAGCCUGCUGAGUUGCCAGCUCCUGCAGGCAACACAGGCACUACUGUAGCUACCGCCCCCGCUCUUCCCAAGAUGCAACGCAAAGUGUUUGUCGUGGGAGACUCCAUCCUGAGGGGGACUGAGGAGGCAAUCUGCCACUCAGCCCCUUAGCCUGGGAAGUCUGAUGCUCCCAAGAGCCCGGAUUAACAGCAGCCCCCUUGGCUCUCCAGGGAAGUAGCGCAUCUCCUGAGGCUAAAAGAAAGGCCUACAAAGGAUGAAGGACGGGAUCUACCUUCAAGGAGGAAUAUUCCACACUGCAGGGAGAGAACCAGGAAAUCCAAGGCUGUGACGGAACUCCAACUAGCUACAAAUAUCAAGGACAAUAAAAAGUCCUUUUAUAGAUAUGUGGGGAGCCGGAGGAAAAGCAAGGACAACAUUGGACCCCUGCUAAACCAGAUGGGACAACUGACAACCAACGCCCAAGAAAAAGCCAACCUAUUAAAUGGGUACUUUACGUUGGUCUUUCAUCAGUCCCACAGGACAGCCCUGCCCAUUUCAUCAGUCCCAUGGGACAGGGAGGCCUGGGUGAGGGAUAUUCCCUGCCAUCCAUCAAUGUUGACCUUUUGAAGGAACACCUUGAGAGGCUGGACACCUUCAAGUCAGCUGGCCCUGACAAUUUACACCUCAGGUUACUCAGGGAGCUGGCUAGCAUCAUAGCCCAGCCCCUGGCAUGGAUCUUUGAGAGCUCCUGGUGCUCUGGUGAAGUGCCUGAAGUUUGGAAGAAGGCCAAUGUGGUGCCUAUCUUCAAAAAAGGGAGGAAAAUAGAUCCAGCAAACUACAGGCCCAUCAGCCUGACCUCUAUCCCAGGGAAGGUCUUAGAAAAGAUUAUUAAAGAGGCCAUUCUUAAUAGAUUGGCUGACACCAACAUCUUGAGGGAUAGCCAGCACAGGUUUAUUGCAAGUAGGUCUUGCUUGACCAAUCUUAUUUCUUUUUAUGACCAGGUGACCUAUCACCUAGACAAGGGAGAGGAGAUUGAUGUCAUAUAUCUUGACUUCAGAAAAGCCUUCGAUUUGGUAUCUCAUGAUCACCUCUUGGCAAAACCGGCCAACUGCAGCCUCGGGUCCACCAUGAUCCUCUGGCUGGGGAAUUGGCUCCUUGGUUGGACCCAGAGGGUGGUGGUUAACGGAAGUCAAUCACCAUGGUGCCCUGUGACCAGUGGGGUCCCUCAAGGCUCUGUCCUUGGACCUAUAUUGUUCAACAACUUCAUUAAUGAUGUGGACAUUGGAGUCAGAAGUGGACUGACCAAAUUCACCGAUGACACCAAACUCUGGGGUAAAGCAUCCACACUUGACGACAGGAGGGCGAUCUAGGCUGACCUGGACAGGUUCAGGAAAUAGGCGGACGAGAACCUGAUGGUGUUUAACACUGAAAAAUGCAAGGUUCUCCACCUUGGGAGGAAAAACGUGCAGCAUCCUUAUAGGUUCAGCGGUGUUACACUGGUUAGCAUUACAGAUGAAAGGGACUGAUUGACCACAAGAUGAACAUGAGCCUUCAGUGUGAUGCUGUGGCUAGUAAAGCGAGCAAAAUGUUGGCUUGCAUCCAUAAGUGUUUCUCAAGCAAAUCCUGGGAUAUUAUUCUCCCAUUGUACUCAGUCUUGGUGAGACCGCAGCUGGAGUACUGCAUUCACUUUUGGGCUCCACAAUUCAAAAAGGAUGUGGAGAAGCUUGAGAGAGUCCAGAGAAGAGCCACGUGCGUGAUCAGAGGUCAGACCUUACAAGGGCAGGUGGAAAACCUUAUAAUGGAAAACAGACCUUACGACAACAGGUGGAGAGCUAUGGGACUCUUUAGCCUGGAAAAGCUCAGGCUUAGGGUUGAUCUGAUGGCCACCUAUAAGUUUAUCAGGGAUGUUCACCAGGAUCUGGGGGAACGCUUGUUCACCAGAGCACCCCAAGGGAUGACAAGGUCAAACGGUUAUAAACUCCUCCAUGACCAUUUCAGGCUGGACAUAAGGAAGAAUUUCUUCACUGUCUGAGCCCCCAAGGUCUGGAAUAGCCUGCCACCAGAGGUGUUUCAAGCACCUACAUUGAAUGCCUUCAAGAGAAAUUUGAAUGCUUAUCUUGCUGGGAUCCUAUGACCCCAGCUGAUUCCUGCCCCUCGGGCAGGGGGCUGGACUAGAUGAUCUUCCAAGGUCCCUUCCAGCCCUAAUGUCUAUGAAAGCUACAAAAUCUAUUAAAUCAUCUCCCUGCUUACCUGUGGCAGGUUAGGGUGUUAUGUCUUGUGGCUGCAUCAGGGUUGAUUAUAUAGUUUUGCUAAAAGGUUAGAUAAUGAAUGUGGAUAGGAUGGUUUGGAUAGGAAUAAUCCUGCUUCAGGCAGGAGGGGUUGGACUAAAUGACCUCUGAAGGUCCCUUCCAACCCUACUUUUCUAUGGUAUCUGUUACUACCACCAAAUUUAUCUGAAACAUUCUGCCCUUAUUGAGACCUCUUUCUCUGCUGAUUCUGUAAAUAUGUACAUUUCAUGAAAAAGUGGUGUUUUUUACUUAAUGCGCAAACUUUUGGAGGUGGGGUAAAAUAAUAACAAACAAAUCAGAGAACAUCUUGUACAACUUUUCCCACCUAACUUUCUGAAUUACAGAGAUUUAGGGGUAGUGAAGCCUUCAUACGAAGUUCAAAACAUGUUUUUUUCCCUUUGUAAAAUUAUAGAAAAGAUCUGGAAUUCUGACGUUUGUCUUUAAGGCUAGGGACAGACAUUACACACAAACUGAUUUAAGUGAUCAGAAACUGAUUUAAACCUAUAACAGAACAUAAGUUCAGUGCACAUAAACCAGUUUCAAAAUGGCCGAAACUGGUUUAAGAUGAACCUGGUUGAAUGUAGUAUCCAACUUAACUGAUUUGAGUCAAACAGGUUUAUGGAACUUGUGUCCCACACCCCUUCCUGGUUUAAGUUAAAUUAGAGUCCCCCAGCAUGCUUUUCAGCCCUGGACUGGACUGUCUGCUCCAGAGAGUAAGGGUGGCCCCACCCCUCUCCUCCCUAGCUGUACCUCUGACUGGCUGAAAAGGAGGUGGAGAUUGCAGGCACAGCAGCAUCUGCCUGGCUUUCCCCUGCCCCACUUCCCUCUUUCCACUCUGCUCAAGAAGGAAUCUCCCUUCCCCUCCCUUCCCUCUCCCACAGCACAGACCCCAGCCAGUAUCUGGUCACGGUCAUGCCACCCCCUUGCUAGCUAGUACUGAGAGGUGUCUGUGUAUGUGUCUCCAAUUUCACUGGGAAAAAAGGCAGACAGAAUAUUGUCUGCUUAGGGAUUUUUAGAAUUAAUCAGCACAUCAGCUGUUAAUGUUCCCCCAUUCUUCCUUACAAAUGCCUGGGAAAAAGCUAUUUAAGAGGAGCUUGAACUAAUGAGAGAGAGGCUUGUGUUUUCUUAGUGGGCUGAUAAGCUUUGUAUUCUGAUAAGCUCCUUGCUGGUUGUUGGCUUGCUUCAAAAGCCAUCAUCUGACCAUGUUCAAGGGGGGGACAGAGAGAAGUGUGAAAAAUGACCCAGUUUGCAACACAUGGGACUUGUAAGUGCCGUCAGUUUGCUGCAGAUAGUAUGAAGAAGGAGGGAGAGGAAGAUUGAAAAGCUCAGUAUCAUCAACAGAUGCAUGCACUGCACACAAGCAGCCCUCCUUCACCCCACUUUGCCUCAAAGUGCUAGCCAGGAGCCAGGUACUGGCAACACUCCUGCCCCUUGAGCAGCGAGCAGGGGGCAGGGAAAGCCUGGUAAGGGCUGCUUCCCCCUCUCCCAGCUUGGGACUGUGAAGGCCAGAGUGGGGAUUUAAACCCCUCCCUAAUCAUAGUGUCCUGCUGAGGCAUGCCAUGCCCUGCACCACCACCCCCCCCCCCGGCCUCAGCUCAGCAUAGUGGAAUGGAAGGGAGGGCUCACUCUAGUGCCCCCAGCUUCUAAACUGAGCCACUGCAGGCACGUGCCUGCGUUUUUUGAAUCAAAAGUGUAUGUCUAUCCACUUGCAAAUCUCUGCAGGUUAGACUGUAUCAAUUCAGGCUCAAGAUUUUUGAAUGUCUGUCCCUAGCCUAAUUCACUUUUAUGUCAACACUUCUGAUAUGAUUGCAGAGCCAUUGACAUCAUCUUUGAAAACUUAUGACAAUCAGGAGAGGUCCCAGAUGAUUGGAAAAGGGCAAAGAUAGUGCCCAUAUUUAAGAAAGGGGAAAAAGGGAACUACAGACCAGUAAGCCUCACCUCAGUUCCUGGAACAAUCAUGGAGCAGAUCCUCAAGAAAUCCAUUUCAAGCCACUGGGAGGUGAAGAAGGUGAUUAGGAACACUCAGCAUAGAUUCACCAAGAUGUGUCUACAGAAUCCUGAUUAAACCAAGAGAUUUCAAACAAAAAACAAGAGUUUAAAAGAAAGCCCACGCAAGUACAUUUUUUAGUUUUUUAAACAUAUUUUUCCCUUUUCCCUUUGUGAGCAGUUGCUUGUGUUUUGAGCAAGAGACUUCCCUUUAUCUUCCUUUUCCAGUAAUGCUAGUAACUAUACCUGACGACCGAAACCCAGGAAAAAACCAACC